UACGGGGGGGGGCAAGCGUUGUUCGGAAUUACUGGGCGUAAAGGGCUCGUAGGCGGCCAACUAAGUCAGACGUGAAAUCCCUCGGCUUAACCGGGGAACUGCGUCUGAUACUGGAUGGCUUGAAUCCGGGAGAGGGAUGCGGAAUUCCAGGUGUAGCGGUGAAAUGCGUAGAUAUCUGGAGGAACACCGGUGGCGAAGGCGGCAUCCUGGACCGGCAUUGACGCUGAGGAGCGAAAGCCAGGGGAGCAAACGGG
rnacentral:rRNA from 1 species